AAUGGUGUUUGUUUGUCAUCCAACCUGUUCAUAAGUUCACAAAGAUAUUGACGAAGGGAAAACACAGAUAUCAGCUUCAUCCAAAACUUCUGUGGACCCCAAGAAGUUUUCAAUGGUAAGUGUUCAAUUCACACAGUUUCCUUUGGUGUAGUCCACUUGAGCUUUGUAUAUGCUUCAAUUUUGGGCUCAUGCCCUAAUGAUCUGGAAAACGGAUGGACAGUGUGGAUAAGACACAUACAUCACAGUGGGCCCCACAGAGUUUACUCAGUACGCAAUCCACUUCCGCUUGGAAUGAAUUUUUGAUACCUGUUGGAGCUCCAGAGAAAUUUUCCGGUGACUGUCAGAGGUUCAACAGGGAUUUCUGACAACUGUCAAAGGCUUAAAAACCAGAUCCGGUGACUAUUGACGGUUCUGAAUGUAUUUAUGGUGACUGUUGGAGACUCUAGAGACAGAUUUGACAACUGUAAAUGGUCCUAAAUGAAUUUCCGGCAGCUACUGAGGCCCAUAAGGGUUUCCAGCGAGUGUUGUAGGGCCACAAGACAGAUCUGGCAACUGUCAAGGGCCUGAAAGACUAGAUCUGGUCCUUGAAUGCUAGAUCCGAUAGAUCUCUUUGUCGAAAACAUCAAUAUGGACUGUUGCUCUUCCAUCUCUAAAUCCAGUGGGCUGUUACACUUUGGGGAAUGGUUAAGGGUCAUAAAAACUCAUAGAACCAUUUGCUGAUGAUGAUGGGUGCAUGAUUAUUCCACUUUCACCAGCGUAAAGGGUUCUGUAAAGCGGCAGAGAGGAAAGGUAGUCCCUCAAAACAGAAAAGACAGGGAAAAAAAAGGAGAACGAGGGAUAUGGGAGAAGAUAGAGGAAGAGGAUCAGUUCCUUUCUGAUGCCAUGUAGGUUUAGUCAGAGAAAACAAGAAGAUGAAGGGAGCAGACGCGGAGAUGAGAAAGGGGCAGGAGUUAAGGAUAAUGACAUAAUUAUCAUUUGUAUUAAAACACACCAAAGGUAACUAAAAGAUAGAUACCACCAUUAUGGUGCUCUGCACGUACACGCAAAACAGUGUAUUCUACCAGUACGGUGCUCUGUAUGUAGUACAGAACUGUAUACUCUAAAAGGUGCCAUCAUCAAUAGAAACCAUGGUAUGGGUAAGAAUCAAAUACCAUUGAAUUUACAUAAAUAGUAAAACCAAACAAAGAAAAAAGAAAAA